CCUACGGGAGGCUGCAGUGGGGAAUAUUGGACAAUGGGGGGAACCCUGAUCCAGCCAUGCCGCGUGUGUGAAGAAGGCCCUCGGGUUGUAAAGCACUUUCAGUGAGGAAGAACGCCUGGUGGUUAAUACCCAUCAGGAAAGACAUCACUCACAGAAGAAGCACCGGCUAACUCCGUGCCAGCAGCCGCGGUAAUACGGAGGGUGCGAGCGUUAAUCGGAAUUACUGGGCGUAAAGCGCGCGUAGGUGGCUUGAUAAGCCGGUUGUGAAAGCCCCUGGCUCAACCUGGGAACGGCAUCCGGAACUGUCAAGCUAGAGUGCAGGAGAGGAAGGUAGAAUUCCCGGUGUAGCGGUGAAAUGCGUAGAGAUCGGGAGGAAUACCAGUGGCGAAGGCGGCCUUCUGGACUGACACUGACACUGAGGUGCGAAAGCGUGGGUAGCAAACAGGAUUAGAUACCCUAGUAGUC
rnacentral:rRNA from 1 species